UACGUAGGGACCGAGCGUUGUCCGGAAUCAUUGGGCGUAAAGAGCGUGUAGGCGGCUAUUUAAGUCCUGCGUGAAAUCCUGCGGCUCAACCGCAGACGGUCGUGGGAAACUGGAUGGCUAGAGUGCGGGAGAGGAGAGUGGAAUUCCUGGUGGAGCGGUGAAAUGCGCAGAGAUCAGGAGGAACACCCGUAGCGAAGGCGGCACUCUGGGCCGAUACUGACACUGAGGAGCGAAAGCGUGGGGAGCGAACAGG
rnacentral:rRNA from 1 species